UGGGGAAUAUUGCACAAUGGGCGCAAGCCUGAUGCAGCCAUGCCGCGUGUGUGAAGAAGGCCUUCGGGUUGUAAAGCACUUUCAGCGGGGAGGAAGGCGUUAAGGUUAAUAACCUUGGCGAUUGACGUUACCCGCAGAAGAAGCACCGGCUAACUCCGUGCCAGCAGCCGCGGUAAUACGGAGGGUGCAAGCGUUAAUCGGAAUUACUGGGCGUAAAGCGCACGCAGGCGGUCUGUCAAGUCGGAUGUGAAAUCCCCGGGCUCAACCUGGGAACUGCAUUCGAAACUGGCAGGCUAGAGUCUUGUAGAGGGGGGUAGAAUUCCAGGUGUAGCGGUGAAAUGCGUAGAGAUCUGGAGGGAUACCGGUGGCGAAGGCGGCCCCCUGGACAAAGACUGACGCUCAGGUGCGAAAGCGUGGGGAGCAAACAGG
rnacentral:rRNA from 1 species